rnacentral:rRNA from 1 species
CCCUAGUAACUGCGAGUGAAGCGGGAAAAGCUCAAAUUUAAAAUCUGGCGGUCUUUGGCUGUCCGAGUUGUAAUCUAGAGAAGUGUUAUCCGCGCUGGACCGUGUACAAGUCUCCUGGAAUGGAGCGUCAUAGAGGGUGAGAAUCCCGUCUUUGACACGGACUGCCAGGGCUUUGUGAUGCGCUCUCAAAGAGUCGAGUUGUUUGGGAAUGCAGCUCAAAAUGGGUGGUAAAUUCCAUCUAAAGCUAAAUAUUGGCGAGAGACCGAUAGCGAACAAGUACCGUGAGGGAAAGAUGAAAAGAACUUUGGAAAGAGAGUUAAACAGUACGUGAAAUUGCUGAAAGGGAAACGCUUGAAGUCAGUCGCGUUGGCCGGGGAUCAACCUUGCUUUUGCUGGGCGUACUUUCCGGUUGACGGGUCAGCAUCAAUUUUAACCGUUGGAUAAAGUCUAGGGGAAUGUGGCAUCUUCGGAUGUGUUAUAGCCCUUGGUCGCAUACAACGAUUGGGAUUGAGGAACUCAGCACGCCGCAAGGCCGGGUAUUUUACCACGUUCGUGCUUAGGAUGCUGGCAUAAUGGCUUUAAUCGACCCGUCUUGAAACACGGACCAAGGAGUCUAACAUGCCUGCGAGUGUUUGGGUGGAAAACCCGAGCGCGUAAUGAAAGUGAAAGUUGAGAUCCCUGUCGUGGGGAGCAUCGACGCCCGGACCAGACCUUUUGUGACGGAUCCGCGGUAGAGCAUGUAUGUUGGGACCCGAAAGAUGGUGAACUAUGCCUGAAUAGGGUGAAGCCAGAGGAAACUCUGGUGGAGGCUCGUAGCGAUUCUGACGUGCAAAUCGAUCGUCAAAUUUGGGUAUAGGGGCGAAAGACUAAUCGAACCAUCUAGUAGCUGG